CAGUACUUUAUGACUCACCCUCUGUCAAAUGAUUAUUGGUAAAGUGAUGUAAACCAGCUCGUGCUAGAUAGUGGUGGAAAGCAAAUUGGAGCUUGUUAACUAAACUUACAUUGCAUCUUAAUUAAAUUCCUAUGAUGUUUACCUGUAUUCUGCACACACAGUUACAUUUGCGUAGAACCUUUACGAGCCAAGCAGAAGGGAGUCUUUGGGUUCAACACAACUGCCGUCUUUCUGUCUGAGCUGAUCUCUUGUUUGUCUCUUAUGAAUAGUUUUAUAAUAGCACAAGACAUGACUGAGUUAAUCUUCAGAUGAAUGCUCAGGCACAGGAAGUACAAUGUCCAUUGUGGUGGGGGACUGGACUGACAGCCUCAUAGAUUAAGUGACUUAAUAACAGAGUGGCUGUGACUGGUUGAGUGGGUGCAGUCUGUAGGGACCGUUAAUGAGGCGUGUCUAUAGUAAGUCUGGAUUGCUUGGUAAUGUUUUGUGGAAACGGGAAUAGAAAAACAAGGAGGCAGAUAUUAAGACUGAAGGUAAUUGAUGAAUGUUUUUUUGUUUUGUUUUGUUUUUUUGUUUUUUUUUAUGUUAGGAGCUGCUUUAGUGACCACAUGUUAGUGCACCUUUAUUAUUUCCUGGCCUUAAUACGUCCUGCACACCUCAAUGUUUUAUGCAGUCUUUUUAUUGCGCAGAACUGCACAAGAAAAACGUAUACGUGUUUGUGAGCCCAAAGCUAUUUAAAAUGCGUACAGCCCAGUGAAUUUGAACCUGUCCAGAGGACAGAGAUGACUUCAUCAUUACCUCACCCUGCUCUGCUAGAGGACUUAUCAAAAACAUGUGGCUCCACUCUCCCUUCUCACUGCAAAUUGAUUGAGUCUUGGACUCGAGUGUUUUCCUUUUGUUGGGGAAUGUGUGCGUUUGUGCACAUGCUGGCUUAAUUUUAUCAUCUUAGAUUUACUUUUCUCUCUCUGUCAUUCAUUUGGCAUGUUUCGGCAAGUUGCUCUGGGUUUGGUCAGACAGGAUGGAGGCCCACAAGGUUGGAGAGGAUGAAACGCCAUGCUGUUUAAGCAUGUGUAUGUGUGUCUAUUACACCCAAUGAGACAAGAUGGCAAAUGUAUUGCGGUGGCAUUUUAAUUUGGCUGUAUUAUUACCCAGGUGAACAAUAUAGCUUUGUAGACUUUAAAUCUGAAAUUUAAGGCUCAUUGUUUGUUUUACAGAAAGCAAUGCAAACCACCUAAAAUAUUUUAAGUUUUUAUUAUUGUUAUCAUUUGAGCUACAAUGUUAUCUGAAUGGAAAAUUGUUUUGAGUAGGACUGAGUGAUAUGAUCAACCAGCCUCUCAGUCCAAAAUCCAGGGAUAUUUAAAAUCCAGUGAUAUU
ensembl:lncRNA